UGGCGGGAAUGGUGGGAAAAUGGGAAGGGAAAGGGUUGGGAAUGCUGGGAAUGGGAGGAGCGGCGCUGGGGUGGGGGGAAAGGUUGAGCUGGGAGCGGGGCAGAGAAGGGAAAUGGAAGGUUCUGGAAUGGGAUCGGGGGAUCCCAGGGAAUGGGGAUCCAGGGAAUCCCAGGGAAUGGGGAUCCCAGGGAAUGGGGAUCCCAGGGAAUCCCAGGGAAUGGGAAUCCAGGGAAUGGGGAUCCCAGGGAAUGGUUUUGUACUCGAUGAGUUUCUCGGUGCCGUGGUGCAGCAGCCCCAGGUGGGGGAAUGGGAUCUCAGGGAUCCCAGGGAUUGGGAAUCUGAGGGAAUGGGAAUCCAGGGAAUCUCAGGGAUUGGGAAUCUGAGGGAAUAGGGAUCCAGGGAAUCUCAGGGAUUGGGAAUCCAGGGAAAUGGGAAUCCAGGGAAUUCUGCAGUCACCUGCAGGUAGGUUUUGUACUCGAUGAGUUUCUCGGUGCCGCGGUGCAGCAGCCCCACAUGGGGGGCACAGGGAAAUGGGAACCCCAGGGAUGGGAAUCUCAGGGAUUGGGAAUCCAGGGAAUUCCAGGGAUUGGGAAACCAGGGAAAUGGGAAUCCAGGGAAUUGUGCAGUCACCUGCAGGUAUGUUUUGUACUCGAUGAGUUUCUCGGUGCCGCGGUGCAGCAGCCCCACGUGGGGGUCGCAGCGUUUCACCGUCUCCCCGCUCAGCUCCAGCACCAGCCGCAGGACCCCGUGAGCCGCCGGGUGCUGAGGCCCAAAGUUGAUGGUGAGGCUGGAAACCUUCUUGUGAGCCAGGGGGUCCUUGUCUGGGGACAUGGGGACACCGUCAGGGACAGCUCGGGGACACAGGGACACCAUCAGGGACAGCUCAGGGACAUGGGGACAGCUCAGGGACAGCUCAGGGACACGGGGACAGGGUCAGGGACAUGGGGACAGGGUCAGGGACACGGGGACACCGUCAGGGACAGCUCAGGGACAGAGGGACACCAUCAGGGACAUGGGGACAGGGACGUGGGGACACCGUCAGGGACAGCUUGGGGACACGGGGACAGCUCAGGGACAUGGGGACAGCUCAGGAACAUGGGGACAGGGUCAGGGACAUGGGGACAGCUCGGGGACACAGGGACAGAGUCAGGGACAUGGGGACAGCUCAGGGACAGCUCGGGGACAUGGGGACAGGGUCAGGGACAUGGGGACACCGUCAGGGACAGCUCGGGGACACAGGGACACCAUCAGGGACAUGGGGACAGGGUCAGGGACACGGGGACAGCUCGGGGACACGGGGACAGGGUCAGGGACAGCUUGGGGACACCAUCAGGGACAGCUCAGGGACAUGGGGACAGGGACAUGGGGACACCGUCAGGGACAGCUCGGGGACACGGGGACACCAUCAGGGACAGCUCAGGGACAUGGGGACAGCUCAGGGACAUGGGGACAGGGUCAGGGACAUGGGGACACCGUCAGGGACAGCUUGGGGACAUUGGGACAGGGUCAGGGACACAGGGACAGCUCGGGGACAUGGG
rnacentral:lncRNA from 1 species